AUUGAACGCUGGCGGCAUGCUUUACACAUGCAAGUCGAACGGUAACAGGCCUUCGGGUGCUGACGAGUGGCGAACGGGUGAGUAAUGCAUCGGAACGUGCCCAAUCGUGGGGGAUAACGUAGCGAAAGUUACGCUAAUACCGCAUAAGCCCUGAGGGGGAAAGUGGGGGACCGCAAGGCCUCACGCGAAUGGAGCGGCCGAUGUCAGAUUAGCUAGUUGGUGGGGUAAAGGCCCACCAAGGCGACGAUCUGUAGCGGGUCUGAGAGGAUGAUCCGCCACACUGGGACUGAGACACGGCCCAGACUCCUACGGGAGGCAGCAGUGGGGAAUUUUGGUCAAUGGAGGGAACUCUGAACCAGCCAUGCCGCGUGAAGGAUGACGGCCCUCUGGGUUGUAAACUUCUUUUGGAUGGGGGCGAAAAAACGGGAUUUAUCCUGGACUGACGGUACCAUCAGAAUAAGCACCGGCUAACUCCGUG
rnacentral:rRNA from 1 species